AUUGAACGCUGGCGGCAUGCUUUACACAUGCAAGUCGAACGGUAACAGGCCGCAAGGUGCUGACGAGUGGCGAACGGGUGAGUAAUGCAUCGGAACGUGCCCAGUCGUGGGGGAUAACGCAGCGAAAGCUGCGCUAAUACCGCAUACGAUCUAUGGAUGAAAGCGGGGGACCGUAAGGCCUCGCGCGAUUGGAGCGGCCGAUGUCAGAUUAGGUAGUUGGUGGGGUAAAGGCUCACCAAGCCAACGAUCUGUAGCUGGUCUGAGAGGACGACCAGCCAGACUGGGACUGAGACACGGCUCAGACUCCUACGGGAGGCAGCAGUGGGGAAUUUUGGACAAUGGGCGCAAGCCUGAUCCAGCAAUGCCGCGUGCAGGAAGAAGGCCUUCGGGUUGUAAACUGCUUUUGUACGGAACGAAACGGUCCUGGUUAAUACCCGGGGCUAAUGACGGUACCGUAAGAAUAAGCACCGGCUAACUACGUGCCAGCCGCCGCAGUAAGAC
rnacentral:rRNA from 1 species